rnacentral:rRNA from 1 species
UACGGAGGGGGCUAGCGUUGUUCGGAAUUAUUGGGCGUAAAGAGCUUGUAGGCGGUUUGUCGCGUCUGCUGUGAAAAUCCGGGGCUCAACCCCGGACUUGCAGUGGGUACGGGCAGACUAGAGUGUGGUAGGGGAGACUGGAAUUCCUGGUGUAGCGGUGAAAUGCGCAGAUAUCAGGAGGAACACCGAUGGCGAAGGCAGGUCUCUGGGCCACUACUGACGCUGAGAAGCGAAAGCAUGGGGAGCGAACAGG